UACGUAGGGUGCGAGCGUUAAUCGGAAUUACUGGGCGUAAAGUGUGCGCAGGCGGCCGAGCAAGUCGAGUGUGAAAGCCCCGAGCUUAACUUGGGAAUUGCGCUCGAAACUACUUGGCUGGAGUGUGGCAGAGGAAGGUGGAAUUCCAGGUGUAGCGGUGAAAUGCGUAGAUAUCUGGAGGAACACCGGUGGCGAAGGCGGCAUCCUGGACCAACACUGACGCUGAGUGAGCGAAAGCCAGGGGAGCAAACGGGG
rnacentral:rRNA from 1 species